AUAACAAUUGUAGUUUAAAAAUUAGAACACCUCAGUUCUAAAAAGAACCUUAGUGUACUAGUGAAAAUUAUUCGUGACCCAUAUCUUUAAUUUUUUGUUCAUAGCAAUCCCAAUUUACUUUUGGUGGCGAUAGUUUAAGGCAAUAAGCCGAACUCAUUUUCAUGAUAAAGACAGGCCUUAAGAUUGUUGGGAAAUGGGUGAUCAAAACUUCAAUAAAAUAGAAAGCCCAGCAAGCCAACAAACAUCAACCCAAACGAACAACAAAUUGCGUAAUCUAGAGAAGUUUGGAAUCGCAGGCCGAAGUGAAUUCUUCCACUCAAGUUACACAAAAUGCAUGUGCUUUCAUGUCAGCUGUGUUGGGCUUCGAAACAUUUUACUAACCGUCUUAACCUAGUAUGUGAUGAGAUGGAUCAUGUUCGUGUCCAUUCAUAAAAUAAGCCAUCGACUAAAUGCUUAAUUUUUGAGUAGUGCGAUUGACACCACUCUUUAAUAGUUUAAUAUUAUAAAAUCCCUCUUUUCGGCAAUUACAAUAAAGGACACUGAGACACUAUGGAUGGCAAAUUGAUGGUCGGUUGGGCUUUUCCAAGCCCAGCCCCUCUAAAAAAAAACUGCCUGAGUUCAGAUAGGCUAAGCAUGGAUCAGGCUUAUUGUAGGCUUGAAAUGGUUGCAAAUUGAUGAACAAAAGGUAAUUAAGUGAAAAAUGUCAAAGACAGAAAGUUUAAAUAAUAGCAUUAUAUAACAAAGCAACUCUAUGUUCAUUUAUCUGGAAAUUGAAUGCAAACUGUGGAAUAAGCAUCUUUACGAGAUAUAGGGGGCUGUUGAGGUGGACAAAAUCGGUGCAAAUCAUGGGUGUGCAUGAGUGUGAAAGUGUGCAUGCGUGAGUUUAUUGUUAUAAUUUUAAGAUUUUUGAGUCAUCAUUAAUUUUAGGAAUUAGG
rnacentral:lncRNA from 1 species